ensembl:lncRNA
GUUAGGUGGAGUAGGAUGGAUUUUCUUUGGCGCAGGUGACUGUCAUGCUUCUUGUGACUGUUUCAAAUUCUGACAGGAGUCCAGAAAGUUAGAUGAGUAUUACAGACCAUGUUUUCAACAGUUUUAGGCACUUGCCUUAGAUAACACAGGUAAAUAUGAUAACCCUGACAAAAAUUAUGUUUCACUAUGCCAAUGGCUUGUCUUCCUGUUCCAUUUUUCAGUGCUUGCUUUAUUUCUAUAGUUUUUUCCCAUAACUACAAAAUGCAAAAUCUGUGAAAACGGAGUUUUAUUUUGAUUAUUUUUCCUGCAUGAGACCUGAACUUGAACUGUUUUGCUGGCUGUAGUACUCAUUUAUUGUUACCAACAAAAUAGCAAAAUUCAGUGUCUUAAAACAAUUCAAAUAUCUCGUCUUUGUGAGUCAGGAACCUGGGUGCAGCUCAGGGGACCUCUGUUUAGAGCCUCAGGAGGCUGCAGUGAAGGUGUAGCUGGGCUGUGUUCUGAUCCUGACUCUUGCCUGGAAAAGAAAACCUCCCACACUCACUUAGGUUGCUGGCAGGAUUCAUUUCCCUUGGGUUGCAGGUUAGAGGGUCCUGGUUUCUUGCUGGCUGUGGCUCCAGGCUGCCCUGACUCCAGGGUCUCCAGUCAGCUCUUUGCACAUAAGCUUACACGUGGCCGAGUAUUUCUCAAGCAUGAGCUUAGAAGGAGCCUCCAUAGGGAAUGUGUCAGUGAGAUAAAUAAUGUGUAUAAAUAAUCAAUCACUGUCACAGGAUUCAUAUCCUAACAUUUGUGCCAUACUGCAGGGGUCAGAAGCAAUUCUCAGGCCCUGCCUGCAAGUGAAGGGAAGGAAUUUCACUAUGUCUGAACACCAAGAGGCAGUGUCCUCGGAUUGCCCCCCCCACCCUUCCUUUGAGUCUGUCUGUCCCAGGGGACUCACCUGAACUCCACUGAUGUGAAGUUAUCUGGAGUCCUACUUUAUCCCAUGUACUUUGAAUAUAGGUUUUGCUACAGAAAUAUUGGUGCUUUUGGUCACAAAAUUCUGCCUUGAACCCUGUGGGAAGACACAUCAUAUAGAGACUAGGACCUUGAAGAGAAAGUGCUGAUGUUUGAGAUGCAUGUGCCAUGUUCCUAGAUCCUACAGAGAAUGCAAUUUUGCCUCUCCCUACUCUUCCAGCAGCAAUAGAACAACCAGUGUUCCACGUCUUCUUGAUUCGACCUCAUCAAAAGAGAAUAGGAAGGGGAAACUAUCUCCCUAACAGACUUUCUGGAUGACAGCAGAGGCAUUGAUAGAGGAAGAAGCACUUAUGGCCUCAAAUCAAUCAGCUGGGCUGAUGAAACAGAUGACUGGGAAGAGGAUGUUUCAGCCAGAUGGCAGAGUGGGGAUGAGGAUGUGUAUGGGGUUCCUGGAACUGACCAUGUUGUCCUUGCCACCGCUCCAUGUGCUGCUCAGGAACCCAGUGUCGACUGGAGCUGUCUGCCCAAGUCUCUGCCCUACCCUGCUUUUCUUGGGAACCUUCCCAAAGAUCUGAUCAAAGAUUUGGUUAAGAACUUCUUUAGAGGAUUAAAUAUCAGGGUGGUGCAUUUACCAUGUGACCCCUGCAAUCCAAAAAGGUAGAAAGGUUUUGGUUCUGUUCAGUUUGGGAACUUGGAUUCCCUGCUCUGUGCCCUGAGUCUCAAUAAACUGUGUCUAGGCAAAAGAAUAGUUCGAGUUGGAUUAGCUGAUCAAGCAUAGCAAGACAGCACAUAGGAGCCUGACAAAACAGACACAGACUGGAGGGCCCGACCUGCCACAGACAGCUUUGAUGAUGACAGCCCACCCAGAAGCAGUGAUGAUGGCUUUGGAUGCAAGUAUCAAGACUGUUAUGAUUCAGAUAGUGGUGGGUAUCAGAAUGGCCUAUCCUGGCCUAUGAAUCCAUAUAGGAGCCGGGAUCAUUAGGGCCACCAAGGCAGCAGAGACUCUGAUAGAGACUGUGAUUCCAGAAUAGGCAAUGGCAGAAGAGCCCUCCAUAGUGAGUGCCAUAGAGAUAAUUACUACAAAGGAGGUGGAGACCAUGGUGAUGACCCAUAUGCUGACAGCUCAUGGGGCUCCAGAGAUGAUUACUAAGACAAUUCUUGGUGCAAUUGUAGAGGUCUGCCCCACAGACCCAGACUGAAUCUGAAACCUGGGAGUACUCCUAAGGAAAACGAUUCUUCCACCACCCCCUUCCAGCCCAGUCGAGCACCUUCCAUCUUUAGAGGGGUAAAGCCUGUUGACACAGCUGCUAGGGAAAGAGAAGUGGAGGAAUGGAUGCAGAAGGAGCAGGAGAGAUCUUCGUGGGGGCCAGAUAAUCCAAAACUAGAAUGGCGGUCAGGCUGGCAAAGGGAAGAAACUCAGGUAUAGGAAGGAAAAGUGAAUCACUGAAGACUGGAACCUCAGGCCCACCUGGCAAAAAUGCAUAAAGAAGAAAAAGAAGUCUCUAGAAAAUCAAAUACUCGGUAAGGUGGAAGAUUGUCACUCUUCAAUUUCUAAGCUUCCCCAAAGGUGAUCAGCUUCUAAAGGUAAUGCCAGCCACCCCACCAAAGGAGAAUGGGUGGUAAAGCACCAUCCUGCUCCAUCUCAGAGCUCUGGCACAGAGCAGAAAUCUCCUAGAGAUGGUAGUGGCUUGGAAGGUAGCUCCAACUCAGCCACCUGAAGAAAGACCAAUAAGGAAAAUUGCAAAUAAAAUGGAUGGGGUGUGUAUCCAAAAAGGCUAACCUGAGAACUCCUGUCAUAAUUCAGGAGACAGAGAAAAAAAAAAUCACUAGAAGGAGGUAGAUAGGAAGGAGGGCAAAGAGAAUCAAGACUCCAGCUCUGCACUUGUGCAAAGGAAAACAGGAAAAUCCAGCCUCCAAGUUCAGUUCUGCAAGCAGGUAAGCUGCUCUCUCCAUGAGUGGUGAAGAUGGAAACGAGGGAGAGGACUCUACAACAUAGACCUCUGUAUCCUAUGCAUUCUCCUAAUCACUUUCCACCCUGGAACAUUUGAGAAUAAAUCAAACCUCUCUGGACAAAAUGAAACUUACCAUGUUCUGAAGAUGUUCCAUUUUUCAAAAAUGCAAUUCCUUUGCAUAAUUCUGCAUCCUUUAAAGUACUGAAGUAAGCAGG